CUGCAUGCCAUCAGGCAGCUGGGGACUUUGCGAGGCCCCCAGCCUAGUUCAUUUUCUUCUCACUGUACUGAUUUUGCAGGCUUCCCAGGGAGCCCCACAGACGAAGGCUGGGCCCCAGGGCCCGCCUGAAAAUCAUCGCGCAGCUGCAAGAGGCCCUGGCCCUGCGUGCUGUCCUCCUCCUGCUCCUUGUGCUGACUGCCCUGAUCUCCCAACAUCUCUCCAAGGCCAAGGCCACCUCCUCCCAGCUGGGCAGGGUGAGGCUGAGGAGGAGGCUGGCGGCAGACCAGGGGAGAUACUUGGAUCAUGCGGGGAAAGCCUCUCUUCACACACGGGAGAGAAAAGGCUCCAACGAGUUGAUCCAACGUGCCCGCCGGUCCUGGCUGGCAGACUACCUGGGAGACUUGUGGUCUCACCUCUACGAGAACAUCCCACGGGCAGUCCUGUACGUCUUCCCCGUCACCCUGCUGAUCCUGCUCCUCCUCUGCUGCCUCACGGUAGCUUUGGACUGAGGUGUGCCGGGGAACUCAGAGAAGCAGUGCAGAAAGGUGCGGAGCCUUCAUGGAGUGCAGCUCAAAGAAACCCCCAAACUGCAGGAACCCAGAGGUGAUGUGGCAAGGCCAGGAGCAGAACCACUUUCUUCUUCCUUUCAGCUUAUUUUAAAGAAGGAAAAAAUCUCCCAGAAUGAUUUUCCCAUC